GAGAUCCGGGAUAACACCUGGAAACAGAUGCUAAUACCGGAUAACAACAGAUGAUGCCUAUCAACUGUUUAAAAGAUGGUUCUGCUAUCACUCUCGGAUGGACCUGCGGUGCAUUAGCUAGUUGGUAGGGUAACGGCCUACCAAGGCGAUGAUGCAUAGCCGAGUUGAGAGACUGAUCGGCCACAUUGGGACUGAGACACGGCCCAAACUCCUACGGGAGGCAGCAGUC
rnacentral:rRNA from 1 species